rnacentral:rRNA from 1 species
CGAUAACGGCGUCGAGCGGCGGACGGGUGAGUAAUGCCUAGGAAAUUGCCCUGAUGUGGGGGAUAACCAUUGGAAACGAUGGCUAAUACCGCAUGAUGCCUACGGGCCAAAGAGGGGGACCUUCGGGCCUCUCGCGUCAGGAUAUGCCUAGGUGGGAUUAGCUAGUUGGUGAGGUAAGGGCUCACCAAGGCGACGAUCCCUAGCUGGUCUGAGAGGAUGAUCAGCCACACUGGAACUGAGACACGGUCCAGACUCCUACGGGAGGCAGCAGUGGGGAAUAUUGCACAAUGGGCGCAAGCCUGAUGCAGCCAUGCCGCGUGUGUGAAGAAGGCCUUCGGGUUGUAAAGCACUUUCAGUCGUGAGGAAGGUAGUGUAGUUAAUAGCUGCAUUAUUUGACGUUAGCGACAGAAGAAGCACCGGCUAACUCCGUGCCAGCAGCCGCGGUAAUACUGAGGGUGCGAGCGUUAAUCGGAAUUACUGGGCGUAAAGCGCAUGCAGGUGGUUUGUUAAGUUAGAUGUUAAAUCCCGGGGCUCAACCUCGGAAUAGCAUUUGAAACUG